rnacentral:rRNA from 1 species
UACGAAGGGGGCUAGCGCUGCUCGGAAUCACUGGGCGUAAAGCGCACGUAGGCGGGUCCUUAAGUCAGGGGUGAAAUCCCGGAGCUCAACUCCGGAACUGCCUUUGAUACUGGGGAUCUUGAGUCCGGAAGAGGUGAGUGGAACUCCGAGUGUAGAGGUGAAAUUCGUAGAUAUUCGGAAGAACACCAGUGGCGAAGGCGGCUCACUGGUCCGGUACUGACGCUGAGGAGCGAAAGCGUGGGGAGCGAACAGG